UAACACUUACAGCAGUGGUUAGAGCGUCGGACUUUUACAGCUGUACAAGUUCAUCCGAAGGUUACGAGUUCGACCCUCGUAUCGGGAG